rnacentral:rRNA from 1 species
UACGUAGGGUGCAAGCGUUUGUCCGGAAUUAUUGGGCGUAAAGAGCUCGUAGGCGGUCUGUCGCGUCGGCUGUGAAAAACCCGGAGCUCAACUCCGGGCCUGCAGUCGAUACGGGCAGACUGGAGUUCGGCAGGGGAGACUGGAAUUCCUGGUGUAGCGGUGAAAUGCGCAGAUAUCAGGAGGAACACCAGUGGCGAAAGGCAGGCCUCUGGGGCCCG